rnacentral:lncRNA from 1 species
AUGCCAGAUCUUAGCCACGUCUGUGACCUACAACACAGCUCAGGGCAAUGCUGGAUCCUUAACCCACUGAGAAAGGCCGAGGAUCGAACCUGCAACCUCAUGGUUCCUGGUCAGAUUCAUUUCUACUGCAUCGUGAUGGGAAUGCUGAAAACCUCUCAGACUUUUAACUGUGUCUGUAAGGCAAGUAAGCACAUUCUCAAUGAAGAGGGUGUUGUGAAAUUCCUUCCAGAGAAAUCUGGCAUUCAUUCUACAUUAACCUGGAGGCUGAGGAACCCUGAAAUUGUUCCAGUUAGUUCUUACUCUGCCAGGGACAAAAAUCUUCCCCAGACGUCCCUCUGCCUUACAUCUCUUUGGCAGAAGGGGUCUCAUGGCCUUUCUGAGCUACAAGGAUGGCUGGAAAAAGCAAGUCUCUCUCCUUUUAGUUCCUCUCUAAAAAAGGCAGUUUUUCAGCAUCUACAUUAG